UCCGCCUCAUUCGAUCCAACACUCUUCCCAAAUCUCAAAUGGUGUUACAUAAUAAGAAGCAGCUACAAAACCCACCUUCCCACUCCUCCUCCUCUUUUAAGUCUUAUCCCAUCCAACCCUUUCCUCCGUGUUUAGUCGAUUGCUCAAGCCAACCCCGACUGCCAAUUAUGGCGACAAACAUUUUCGCUAAUAUUGAUAUUCUAUCGGAUCUUUCUCUUGGACUUGGUAUAGAAUUUCAAUGUCAAUCUUUGACGGAUGUUCCUCCACCACACAUGCAUUACACCAAUGCGUUCUUCUGCCUCAACAAAAUUUUUUUGUCGGAGGAUUAGCUAUUAUAAUUUCCUCCCGUUCAGGCUGGGUCACGCUGGGUCUCUAUGCAGGGGAUUAUCUAUCAUAAUUUUUUUUUUCAGUCCAAUCGUCAUCUUGAACUUAUGUCUUAUUGACUGAGGUUGAAUGCAAAACUGAAAAAAAAAAAAUAAUAAAAAUUAAAAAAAAAAUAAAAAAAUCUGUUGUACCAUCGCAUCAUCUGAAGUUAUUUUUCAAUGGUUUCUAAUAGUACAACGGACAAGAGAUGUGGCAGGCUAAAUUCUUCCCAACUAUUUUCUUUGUAUCUAUCGAUUUAGUUGAAUUUUCUCAUGCUGUAAAUGGUUGUAGGAUUUCAACUCUAACCAAAUUAGUUAACGAUUGACAGAGAUGGUUGUGUGCUUUUUGGAAGAUUACCGACGAAAAGUUCGAGUGUAUUUGUAACUAUUUUUCUUAUUUUCUUUUUCCAUUCCUUCUUACCUAAUUUUUACUAUAUUUUAUUUUUGAACAUCAUUUUCUUGAUUUAUCCUUUUUUAACUUUUAUCGUAAUUUCUUCUUUUUUACAUGUAAUUUUCUCCAUGCAUGAUUUUUCCUUCAUGUUGUACUACUAUAAGCUCAAUUCUUAAUCUAAGUUGUCUUAUAAUUUGAAUAUUUUGGUUAUUAAAUGGUGAGAAUAUUGGUGGUUAGAAUUUAAGCAUUUGAUUAGAGAAUUUUAUACAAUUUUAAGCUCAAAUUCUUGUUGUAUUUAAGUACUUGUGUUUAGAAAAAGAAAAAAAAUACAAGUUCAUUACCUAAUGCCAAAAUAAAUAAAUAAAAUAAAAAUUUUAGCACCUACAAUAUAAGUCAUCUCACUCCGCUGCGGUAUGCAAACAGAAAAGUAGAGAGUCAAAGAAAAUAUUAUUUUAUUUUGAACACGAACGUACUCAAAAAGAAACAUCAAUUUGUUUGUGUAUUGAUUUGAGUAUGACAAUGCACAUUAUUUUACACUUGAAUGACCAUACUUUCUCCUUCACUUGUAUUUUAUCUUUUCUCCUUCAUGAUUCUGACUUGUUUUGUUUUAUUGGUCUUUUCUACAUUUUCAGAAUGGAGUACUUUUCUGCUUUUUCAGUAUAGAGUAGUCUCUUCACAAAUUAACCUUUUUUAGUAAAUUGUUUAUCACAAAUGUGUGUUGUUUAGCGAGAGUGGAUAGAUAGCAGUCCUCUUGACCAGUAAAAGUCUAUGGUAAAAUGCUGGUGGUGUGGGAAAACUCUGAUUUAUGAACAAUUACUGAAUUACAAUCUUA